rnacentral:rRNA from 1 species
AGAGUUUGAUCAUGGCUCAGAACGAACGCUGGCGGCAUGCCUAACACAUGCAAGUCGAACGAAGCCUUCGGGCUUAGUGGCGCACGGGUGCGUAACGCGUGGGAAUCUGCCCUUGGGUUCGGAAUAACAGUUAGAAAUGACUGCUAAUACCGGAUGAUGUCUUCGGACCAAAGAUUUAUCGCCCAGGGAUGAGCCCGCGUAGGAUUAGGUAGUUGGUGGGGUAAAGGCUCACCAAGCCGACGAUCCUUAGCUGGUCUGAGAGGAUGAUCAGCCACACUGGGACUGAGACACGGCCCAGACUCCUACGGGAGGCAGCAGUGGGGAAUAUUGGACAAUGGGGGAAACCCUGAUCCAGCAAUGCCGCGUGAGUGAUGAAGGCCUUAGGGUUGUAAAGCUCUUUUACCCGGGAUGAUAAUGACAGUACCGGGAGAAUAAGCCCCGGCUAACUCCGUG